UAGCUCAGUUGGUAGAGUGCUUGCCUCACAUGCACAAGGCCCUGGGUUCAAUCCCCAG
rfam:Ictidomys tridecemlineatus contig106883, whole genome shotgun sequence.